GAUGAACGCUGGCGGCGUGCCUAAUACAUGCAAGUCGAGCGAACGGACGAGAAGCUUGCUUCUCUGAUGUUAGCGGCGGACGGGUGAGUAACACGUGGAUAACCUACCUAUAAGACUGGGAUAACUUCGGGAAACCGGAGCUAAUACCGGAUAAUAUUUUGAACCGCAUGGUUCAAAAGUGAAAGACGGUCUUGCUGUCACUUAUAGAUGGAUCCGCGCUGCAUUAGCUAGUUGGUAAGGUAACGGCUUACCAAGGCAACGAUGCAUAGCCGACCUGAGAGGGGGAUCGGCCACACUGGAACUGAGACACGGUCCAGACUCCUACGGGAGGCAGCAGUAGGGAAGCUUCCGCACUGGGCGAAAGCCUGACGGAGCAACGCAGCGUGAGUGAAGAAGGGCUUCGGAUCGUAAAACGCUGUUAUUAGGGAAGAACAUAUGUGUAAGUAACUGUGCACAUCUGGACGGUACCUAAACAGAAAGCCACGGCUAACUACGU
rnacentral:rRNA from 1 species